rnacentral:rRNA from 1 species
GGACUACAGGGGUUUCUAAUCCUGUUUGCUCCCCACGCUUUCGCACCUCAGCGUCAGUAUCGGCCCAGGUCUCCGCCUUCGCCACUGGUGUUCCUCCCGAUAUCUACGAAUUUCACCUCUACACCGGGAAUUCCGAGACCCUCUUCCGUACUCAAGCCCGGCAGUUUCGGAUGCACUUCCUCGGUUGAGCCGAGGGAUUUCACAUCCGACUUACCGAACCGCCUACGUGCGCUUUACGCCCAAUGAUUCCGAGCAACGUUUGCACCCUCCGUAUUACCGCGGCUGCUGGCAC